CACACCCUCACCUGCACAGCCGCCGUCUCGCACCUGCCGUGGGACUUCUCGUUUGUUUACGUCGUGAGACCGAACAUGGCAGACUUGGACCAGACUUUGCAACGUGGCCGUUAACACGCUUUUGCCUCAGAAUUCGUAGAACAGCCAAGAACACCAGCAGUGAAGGUAAAGCUGUGUCUGGCAGCUCUCUCUGGGGUCUCCGCCAUCGGCUCAUCCUGACACAGGUCGCGGCUGUUGGGGGCCUCGGGCCUCUCGGGAACCGCACUCACUCGCAUUCCUGUGCCGGGUGCACGCCUGUGUGUGCUGCGGGUGCAGGGCCCGUGGGGACAGAGAGCAGGCGCCAAGGCCCCUGACAAGGUCCGCAAGCAGAAAGGAAUAAACAGCAAUGUCCCUGCGCAUCCGUCUCCACGCAGUCCCAGCGACAGCUUUUCCUGCUGCCACGGGUCCCGGAUGUGACAUCGCUGGCUCAACUGCUCCCUUAUUGUGGGGGCCUCCCUCGGGGCAGGGCGUGGGCUUCCCAAACCCGUCUUCUCUGCCGUCCUCCCAAACAAGCCCCCAGACCCCUCUGGCUUCUCGCAUUUCACUGAGGAGCAAGAGGGCAGGUAAAGAGUAACUAGCGGGAAGAACAAAGGUCGUGGUGUUUUUGCAAACUCCUGCGUCAGCCUCUGAGAUGCCUGGUUCUGAGCCUGCAGCCCACACGAUCCUCCUUUUAUUUCCAUGCCAGCCUUCCUCCCGUGAGGCCUGGAGGUCAGUCAGGACAGAGAUGGGUGAUGACCCCAAUGGCAGGACCAGGACGUCUGAGCACCUCCGGCUCCCCCCUCCCCCCUGCCCCUGCCCAAGUCCCAGAGCCCUUCCCCUUCCCGCAGAGCUCGGCUUCUGGAAGGAGCCCAGCCUUGGACGAGGGGGUGACCGCUGGGCUCAAGGGCUUUGCUUUCCAAGGACGUUUUUCUUUCCUUGCUCCCUGUUCCACAUGCAGAUGUGAGUCCCGGGGGGGUGGCCCACACUCACCGCCCCUCCGGCAUGGAGAGGACAGAGGCUCGUGCCGGCGCUCUGGCUGCACCUACAGAAGGACGCCACAGAGGGAGUGGGCAGAGCCCCCUCACGUUGCCGUGAGGAGGAAAGAAGCUCUUCUGCCCUGGCAGCUGUUACACUUCUGAGCAAGGCUGCCGGCCCAGCAUUGCCACCCGGCAUCAGCACCUCGGUUCCCGGGGCCUGAUCUCAGCGCAGGGCUGCGGAAGUCCCACCCUGUUCCAGUCCCAGCUGCCCCGCUGACCGGCUGUGCCGGAUUCGCUUUAUCGGUAAAACGAAAGGCCCGUAAUCUCUCUUCAAGGAAUCUCUCCUUAGGAACUAAACUACAAGGAGAAAUAAAGAUGCUCCCUGAGUUCUAGUUUCUACUGAAGAAUUGUGAGAGCCAGGGCCAUGUGUCAUCUUCCUGUCUCCAACGCAACAUCCGUCAAGCAUGGCAUAGAGUUGGCAUUUUGAAGUCUGUUAAAGUAAUAAAUGAAAAUACAUGUCCACAGAUGGAUAAUUUAAAAAUUAAUUAUGCAAGAUCACCUCAAUGGAAGAGGAUAUUGCCAUUAGAAAUACGAACUGUGGGCACAAGACUGCAGUGUCGAAGGCUUGUCCGAGGGACCCAGCGGACAAACUAGAAGGACAGGUAACAGCGUUCUUGCGUUCUGAUUACAAAUAUGUGAAAUUCGUUUCUGUGUCUGCACAUGGAGAGGAGAGGAAGCAGCAGAAAGCAGCAGUUGUUGCUGCUAACUGGGGCGAAUUCUUUACUGUACAA